rnacentral:rRNA from 1 species
GACGAACGCUGGCGGCGUGCUUAACACAUGCAAGUCGAACGGAGCGCUCAUGAAAGAGUUUUCGGACAAUGGAUUGAGUUGCUUAGUGGCGGACUGGUGAGUAACGCGUGAGGAACCUGCCUUCCAGAGGGGGACAACAGUUGGAAACGACUGCUAAUACCGCAUGACGCAUGACUGUGGCAUCACAGACAUGUCAAAGAUUUAUCGCUGGAAGAUGGCCUCGCGUCUGAUUAGCUAGUUGGUGAGGUAACGGCCCACCAAGGCGACGAUCAGUAGCCGGACUGAGAGGUUGGCCGGCCACAUUGGGACUGAGAUACGGCCCAG